rnacentral:rRNA from 1 species
CCCUUAGAUGUUCUGGGCCGCGCGCGCGCUACACUGAUGCAUUCAACGAGUUUCUUCCUGGUCCGAGAGGAAUGGGUAACCUUUUGAAAGUGCAUCGUGAUAGGGAUAGACUAUUGCAAUUAUUGGUCUUCAACGAGGAAUUCCUAGUAGACGUAGUUCAUCAGACUGCAUCGAUUACGUCCCUGCCCUUUGUACACACCGCCCGUCGCUCCUACCGAUUGAAUGCUCAGGUGAGCCAUUCGGACCUUCAUCAUGCCGGUUUCCGGUUUUGAUGAGGGGAAGUCUUGCGAACCUUAUCAUUUAGAGGAAGGAGAAGUCGUAACA